rnacentral:lncRNA from 1 species
UGGUGUUGUAUUUCCAUGAGAUCAUAAUCCCUUACUUUAUUCAUAUCAAUUUAAUUUUUUUUUUUUCAUAUCUUUAUUAAGUUGAUUAUGAUUCCAGUUUUAAAUGUAACAUCAGUGUUUAAUAUAAAAUGGUCAUAGUUGAUAAAUUAAAAGGAAACAUCUUUUCUCUUACUGUAGAAGGUAUCUGUGAUAUGUUCAACGAUGUGAACAAAUACAAACAGUAAGUGUUGUGUCUGAUCGAUGAUGAUUCAAUUUCAGAUUAAGGUUAUUUGAACAGAAAGUAAUUUGACUUUGCUUAAGUAGUCAUGCGAUUUCAGGGUUGUAAACUAUCAAGGAGAAAAAAAUGAAAGUUUGUAGUUAAUUGUAGGCUCAAAAACAAGUCAAAGCAUAUCACGCGAGAAUUAUGACUACAAUUAAUGCUAUUGUGUUGUUUUGUCUGUUGUGUUUUCUUCUCUGUAGGAUUGUUUCUUAAGAUUUACUAUGAUGAAGGUAAUGUAUCGCGGUAAUACUUCCAAAUGAGCUCUUUUUAAGAGGAAUUGGUUAAUUAAAAGUUAUCGAUCUACCACGAUUACAAAUUAUUAUUCAAUAGAAUUUGUACGCCUAUCCAUUUUUUAUUUGAAUUUAGGGUUAUAUAGAUAUGGGGCAGGAUUUCAAAUGUUUUUUGUCGAACUGAUGAACAUUACAUUUCUUGAUACAGAGUUU